CGGGGUAACAAACUAAAACUGAGGGAAACGCAUUAAAUAUAAGAGGAGUACAACAACGACACAACACUACAAUGUAACACACACAGAAACGGACCAAGCAUCAGACAAAAUCCCACGAGAAUAACAAAUAUAACAUCAAAACCAAAUACAUGAAUUUGGGAUAGACAAGUCCCGUGACACGUCUUAUCGCAAUGUGAAUUUACACUCAAAAAUAAGAGAAAACAAACGACGCAACGUUAAAAUGUAACACACACAGAAACGAAC
rnacentral:lncRNA from 1 species